GUGGUUCUAAAAUUCUGUAUGAUACUAAUUUCUUGUGAUCAUAUUGAAAAUGAGUUCUAUGCUUUGGAUGCAUUAAAAUUCAUCAUAUUCAUACCACAAUUCACAACUAACGAAUUAGGAAAGUUUAAUGACUAGACUUUCCAGAAAUGGCAUGUUGCUUAGGAAAAGCUUUCGUUGAUCAUGCAUAACUUUCUAUACUUAGUAAAAUGAUGUACUAACCCUAAUCACUUUACUCUUUUUAUAGGUGCAAGUCAGAGGACAGAGUGAUGACACUUGCAGAGGUUUGGACUUCAGCGUUUCUCCAGACCAUUUGGUCCAUUGACUUUCCUAAUCCAAUUUUGGUGCAGGCACAGGUGGAUGUUAGAUCGUAUGGUAGAACAUUACAGUUAUCCCGACGUGGAGCUUUCAUCCGGACUUGGUAGACCCUCAUGCUUUCGAGGCUGUCUACUGUUAUUAUCUAGCUUAGAUGCAGUUCUUAGCUAGUUGAGCAUGUUCCACUAGUGUU